rnacentral:rRNA from 1 species
UACGUAGGGUGCAAGCGUUGUCCGGAAUUAUUGGGCGUAAAGAGCUCGUAGGCGGUUUGUCGCGUCGAAUGUGAAAACCCGGGGCUCAACCCCGGGCCUGCAUUCGAUACGGGCAGACUAGAGUUCGGUAGGGGAGUCUGGAAUUCCUGGUGUAGCGGUGAAAUGCGCAGAUAUCAGGAGGAACACCGGUGGCGAAGGCGGGGCUCUGGGCCGAUACUGACGCUGAGGAGCGAAAGCGUGGGUAGCAAACAGG